GUCUGUCCGGGUUCAAGUAGACAACAUCAAAGUAACUGGGAGAAGGUACAAAGAGUUCUCCUUUCUCUGCAAAAGGAAAGACACAGGCUUAUUUAUUCUGGAGAAACAAGCCUUCUUUGUUCCACAUUCAUAUGGUGUUUUAGGGUGGGGACGGAAUUCCUAGACACAACAUCAAAAGUCUUCAUGGCCCACAGUUCUAUGACCAAGUUUGCUGACAUGGAGGUCUUUGCCCCGGCUCUGCAUGAGAUCAAGAAAGGGAAUGCAGAUUUAUCAUCAUCGGGACGGAUGCUCCCCUAUGGCUUACGAGCCUCAGCGUGUGCGGAUGCCAAAAAAAAUGGUUUUAUUCUGAGGAUGCAUCUCAGAUACCCAAAUGUUUCACCGCUGUGAGAUCCACAUUCUUUUCUGAUGUAGUCCAGACUCUCCUGUGGCAUGUUACAGCAACAUCUAGACGGUCGCUGCUUUAAAUUUAGCACCCAGCAAAAUGUCGGGUUGGUUGGUUUUAAACACAGCCUGUUCUGGUUCACCGCUGAAUAGCUGCUUUGCCCGCCAGUUCUGCCAAGAGGUGCCUCUGUACUCCCACUCUGUCAACUGCCUCCUUUCAACUGAACGGAAAUCUCUCCUCCUUCAGGAAGCUUCUAAUUAGAAACUCUCUCAGGAAUCUCCCUGCUUUCCCCUAGUGACAUGAUUGGCUCCCUCGUUCUCAACCCCUAGGACACCCCUGGCUUCCUGUUAUUACAAUAGAUGGUAAAAACUUGAAGGGGAGGGACUGGCCAUAUUUGUUUUAUAUUCCCUAAGCAAGAAAUCUGUGCAGAGUACACAGUAAGGAUUCCCUAGAAACGAGUGGACUGAAAUUGAACUAACGCACAGCAUUGGAACUGGAAAGAACCUUGGAAAGCAGGCAUCCAGCUUCCAGGAUUACACAUGAGGAAACUGAGUCUCAGACAGCAGAAGGCACCUGAGACCCGCAGCUGGUGGACAACUGAACAAGCCUUCCUUAAGUCAAUUAAAUAUGUACUGAAUACCCACUCAUUAGAGAAGAAAAUGCAUAAAAGCACUUCAUGCCAUGUCCGGUUCAUUGUAUUAUCCUAAUUAUAUCUUCAUCACAUAUAAUUGCAGUUUAAUAGUAGUUGUGAAUCCUACUACAACAAUGACAAAUAACACACACCCAACAUUGGGGAGAGUUAGCAUGGAAAAUAAAAACCAGUGAACCGCAGGAUAUUACAAUCCAGUUAAGAAGUUAAAACUAAUAUACACGAAAAGAUCAGAGAAUAACUAACGGGGUCCUCACUACAAGAACAAUAGGAAUUCUGAAAAGGGAUUCAUCACUGUGGGUUGAAGAGAUCAAAGGCAGCUUUAAGGAGGAGGUGAGAUCAGCUGGUCUUUUAAAGUCGGAGGUGAAGGGACAGGGCCAGCAAGAGGGCUAAGAGGCAGUGAGCUCCUAGUCCAGGAAACUACAAGGGCGGGGAGGGAUCUGUUCUGCUCAUUUCACUGCCGUGGCCCCAGUGUGUGGUGGGUGGAAUGCACUUGAUAAUGACUCUAGGAUUUAAUUCAUCAAUUACAGAGGGAGACAGAGGGAGUGGGUUGGGAGUCACGGGGUUGAGAACAGCCAGCAGGGUGCAUGUCUCACUCACCAGGCAGCAGGGACCACCCUCAGUUCUGGAGGUGGGGGGUGAUGGGUCCACCUUGACCAGGGCAUAAGUCAAGAGAACAGGAGUGGGAGAGGCAGGAGGAAGCAGGGGAGGCUGAGAGGUUGUCACUGAGAUCAACAGCUGGUGCUAGGGCUGGGCUGGGGGUUGGCAGUGGAAUGGAAGCAAACUCAGGGAAUGUUUUCUUGGGGAAAAUUUAUGACAGACUGGGUAUAAGAAGUGGAAGAAAGAGAGACAUCAAUAAUGACCACUCAACUUGUAUUUCCAUGUGUCAAAAAGAAUGAGAUUUUAACGGACUGAAAUGGAAUCAUUGCAAAGAGAAAGGAGAGUGGGGUAGGCAAUAUGGUAGAUUCGCUAUUGGAGAUUUUGAAUUUGUGAUGACAUGUGCGUCAUUUAAGGGUGGACAUCCUAUGGGCAGUCGGAAAUAUAGGCCUGGCACAGAGGAGAUACAACAACACCAGUCUGGUAUUUGGGGGAGUUGUCUAAAAAGGGCUGAGAGUAGAAGCUAAAGGAAUAAAUAAACUCGACAAGAAAGAAAAGGUUGAGAACAAAAUCUAGAGCCAAACUAGGGACAAGCAGGAACAGAAGAGGUGACAGAAGAGAGAAGAAUCAGGAAAGGAAAUCAUCAAGGAGAAAGUUUCAAGAAACUGAUGCUUGAAAGCAUAAGAUGCCUUUAAUAGAGAUUCAUAACAACAAACACACAUGCAUUUGGCAGAAUGAAAGUCUUCGGCAACCACACAAAGGGGUUGUGAGAAUGGAGCUGGAUUUCAGCAGAUAAAAGACAGAAAAGUGGAGUAAGAAUGGAGGUGGAGGUCUUCCCAGGUGGACCAUAAUAUCUGGCCACAUUCCCCGUAGAGCUCGGAACCAGGGCACAAAAUCUGUAAGUAAUCCAUACACAUCUCAAGCACCUUCUGUGGGCCCAGCAUUUGCUAGCACUGUGGUGAGAGAAAGUAUAAGAUGCCAUUCCUACCAGGAAAGUAAUUGGGCACAUAAAAAUUUAGCUCUUGGGAAUAACCCUACCACCACCAUGAAAUCUGCAUGCUGUAUCUUUAGCAGGAUUGGGGGUGGAAGGAAGGAAAUGCCCUGGAAAACAUUUCUGGAUUUUUCCACCCCCUCUUAUGUGCAAACAAUAUAAAACAGGAAACAAAUUAUUUAGCAGGAUUACAGUUUAAAUACCUGGAUUUAAAAUGUCCAUUUCUACUCAUGGUCUCACAUAGUCCAGGUGGCGGGCUAUGGAAUAUGACCUCAGGCCUCUAGAGGAAGAGUGUGUGCCAUGGAACAGAGACAAGGAUUCACCGAGCCCUGCAGAGCGCUGUACAGAGACGCUUCCCCUAAAGAUCCCCCCUUCUCUUGUAGCCACUUAACAAAUCAGGGAUGGAAGAAGUGGAGGAUGUGAAAUUUGAAUGGAGCAAAAGGAGGUGCUGCAACAAAGUGCCAAAAAAAGUAUAAUUAAGAUAAGCAGAAUUUACAUUAAUUGGAGGCAGCUCUCCACAUCCCAGCAUAUCAGUUCACCUUGGGUCUUUUUCUUUCAAACUCACACUUCCAGACCUGACCUACAGUGAGCUCAGUGAUAGACCAGUCCAGGUUUCAAAGAGUGUUUGUUCAAAUUUAGGAUUCUGUGUGUGUGUGUGUGUGAAUGCACACGUGUGUAUGUAUCUCUUCCAAUGGACUCCCAUGGUCUUUAUAAACACAGAGUCUGUUCCCAUCAGUGGAGGCCUGAAGCUUCCUGCAUGUAGCCCAGCCUCCUCUCUUCUAGAGGGGGCCUAUAUCAUGGGAUGGCACAGAGGAGGGGGCUGACAGCUCCCAAAGUGGGAGACCACUGUGCAUCUCACAUAGGGCAGUGAGCAGCUGACAAUGGUGGGGGUCCAUGCUCCAUCCUUCACCCAGACUCUACAAGCCAAGGGCAGGAGGUAAGCCCUUGAUUACAAGCUAAUUAGACAUUGGUCCCAUAAAUACUUCAUGAGUGCGAAUUAAGUGGGAGGUUCUGGAGCAGAGAGGGAGGGACAUAAUGAUAUCUAAAGAGUUCCCUGCUCUUGAGUUCCCCUAUGCAAAGUGCCAUGGGAAUUCCAACAAGGGUGACCAGAAAAAGCUUCAGGGCUGAGAAUCUUGGGAGAAGGGAAGAAUUUCAACAUUCACAAAGAGGACACAUGAUUCCAAGGGAAGGAGAGCCCCUGAAAGGAGACAGAAGGCAGGCUCAGUGCAUAACUCACAAAUGUUUGACUGGAGCACAGAUGAGCAGAGAACUGUGGUGACCAGCAGAGGUCAUGUGAGAUGUAAGAUCAUGGACUUUGGAGCCAUGCUGAUGGGAUUCAAAUCCUAGGUCCACCAUGACCUUCAGACUCCUUAGUUAGAGCCACACCUUCCACAGUAUGGCUAUACCUACCUCUUCAGACUUGUAGUAACAACAACAAUAGUGGCUAACACUUAUGGAGUGCUGGGCAUGCCACUAAAAUUCUUCAAAUAAGUUCAAAGACUUGGAAUAGUCCUGGCACAGAGUAAGCGCUCCACACAUUUUGGAUAUUGUUAUUAGGAUGGUCCUCCUCAGGUCUCACAACCACAUCAGGAUGGAGGGACUGUUUUUCGUCUUUUACUGAUGAGGACACUAAAGUCAGAGAAGGACCUUGUCCAAGGUCUCCCAACUGUGAGCGGUAGAGCUUCUAAUCCGGUGUCACACAGACUCCGGUUACAAACGUUUGUAACUGAAAAGGGCAUGGAUUUCCAGCCUACCAAAAUGAGAUGAACUGAAGGAAUUUUGACUGACAGGUGAUGGAUGCCUCGAACUAGCUUGCAAAUCCUGUUAAAUAAGGUCACACACACACACACACACACACACACACACACACACACUCCCCAAACAAAAACAUGGAAGAUCUGAUUAAAUUAGCUCAGUGUUAUUCACGAUAACCCAAUUUCUAUUUUAAUGGGCAGUUAACCAUUCAGUAAGUAAUUGAAGGUGAAAAGGACAGAAAAACUACUAGUUAUUAAGCUUCUACUAUAUAACUGACUGUACUCGAGGUACACAUUAUUUUCUCCCAAUCCCAUGAGAUGAUGAUGAUGAAAAACUACCAAUAAUAACUAAAACUUUAGUGCUUAAUCUGUAUUAAGCACUGUUUUAAGCCCUUUACGUAUUUUGACUGAUUUCAUCCUCACAACAGCCCUGUGAGGUAGGGGUUGUUAUCCCCAUGUUGUAGGGGAGCGAACUGAGGUUAGAUAAGUUUCCAACUAAGUGUUGGAGACACAGGAGAAGAAGUGGAAGGUCAGUUUAAAAGACUCUCCCAGGGCCACUCAACUAUGUGAUUCAGAUACUCUGCCUUGCAGACUCACUGAUGCCUCCAUUGGCAUAAAACAGAAAUAUAAGGAGUAAGGUAAAAAGAUGUAAUCGAAUACCCUCCUUAUUCAACAUUCAUUACACAUUCACAAAUUAAUUAUUUAGCUUCCACCACAUACAAGGAACUGUGUCAAGCAUCAGGGGAGACUAAGAUUCGUGCAUAUUUGCUCAUCCUGUUUCAAGUGUUUGUACAAGAUCUGUAUUUACUCUAAGCCUUCUUUUAAGAAUGUGUCAGAAAAUAACUGUUCCAUGAUAUGCUGGGAAUGGAGCCAUAUCAACAGAGUACAAAUCUUGGGAAACAGACAGCUGGGUAAGAUGUAUCAAAGCUCCACAGUUUAGGAUGAAAAAAACAGAGACAGUGAUGAAAAGAAAUAUGUAUGAGGAAUCAGUAGAGAUGCAAAUAUACAAACCGAGUUACUUCAAAUGAAAAUAAUUCCAAGAUCAGAAAUUAAGCUGAAAUAUCCCUAUGUGUCUGUCUGUCUUUCUAUAUAUCUAUCAAUCUCCAUUCUUGAGUACUAUUCAAAGACUCAAACUCAACUCAAAACACUUGUAAUACAACUACAAUAUUUCUAUCCCAACAAGAGUUUGUUAAUGUAUGUGAAAUGUGACUCAGGUCUUUUCUACUGUAAUGACUUAUGCCUGAUUCUUCUGUACUAUUUAAAAAAUAGUCAUAAUAGGUAUUUCUCAACUCUGUCACAAGAGAUCACAUAUGUGAUGUCCCUCUAGUCCCACCAACAUCUCUUUAAUUUCUCCAGGUUCUUUCUUUGACACUGACCACAGAUUCUGACCUCGGUACUGGAAUGUCCCCCCUCUCUCCUCAUUCCAGCUCUUCCAGCCUGCUAAUGUCAUCCCUUCUUUUUGCCUCUCUUGCCAACCCACCUGGCUUCUUUACAAAGGAAAAGUCCCUCAUUUUCCUUCAGAGCUUUCCCAGAUUCUAAGAAAAUGAGAUGUGGAUGUCCCUUUGACACCACAAGCCAAAACCAGGCCUGAUACUCCAGAGAGUAACCAAGUAGAGAAUCCUGUCAGGCUGCCUAGAAUAAGGCAUAGCCUGUGGCCCAACAAUUCCACCCUUAGGAAUAAAUCAUCGCUACCUGGAUGUUUACUGAAGCAAUGACUGUGACUGUGAAAAAUGGAAAAUGAUCUUAGAGUCCAACAACAGAGGUUUAGUUAGACAUUCUAUGGUAUUACAACCAUAACAUUGAAAAAUAUUCAUGAUACACUAUGGAUGGAAGGAAUCAUAAAAGGGUUUGUACAUUUUGAUACAUUUUACAUAUAAAAAUAAAACUAGAAGAUUCUACACUACAGUGUUGACAAUGUAUCUUGGGAUAUUCAGUAACCUCUUCCUUCUUUUUACCUAUCUGUAGUUUCUAACUUUCUAAAUUAAAUGAGCAUCUACUAUUUUGUAAUAAGAAAAUAGAAACUAUAAUAAAAGCAAAACAAAUUAAACCACCUACGGAACUGCAGAACAGAUGCUCUGUGAACAUGUAAUUGUGGAUGGCUCAUUGGUGCUUUAAAAACCUGGAGGUGAGUUUUAUAUUACAUUGCCUUUUUAGAACGUGGAUUUCCAAAACACAGGACCAGAAGGUAUUCCUUUGGAGGCCGAAAAAUCCAGUACAUUAUUUUGCUCUGAUUAAUAGAAAUACUGCCAGUUGGAGUGGACAAAAUAAUGAAGAGUGCAGUGUGACUUUGUUCUCACACCUGCUCUACUCCCCUUGCGCGUGUGGCCUGUCCAGGCUGUGCCACCUCCCUGGAGCUUAAUCCUGACCUCCCAGGCUCCUGGAUCUCAUUCAGCCUCCCUGCUCAACUGUCUCCUACUGGUGAUCUCCCUAUUUCUUUUGGUGGAGCCACAACUCCACCUGUUAGCCAGGCUGAAUCUAGAUAUCAACCUUGACUCUCCAUCUCUGUUCCAUGCCUUAUAUUCUAUCAGCUGUUCCAUUCUUUACAUUCUAUCAGCCAAGAAAUCAAUCCUUCUAGAAAAAUGUUUCCUCUAUCCCCUUCAGAUGCUCUACAAAACUGUCAAAUAUACUUUUCUAAAAACUACAUUAUUAUCACUUCCAACUUUACAAUAUGAGCAGCUCCCAUUGUGCACCAAAUAGAAUGCGGUCAUCUUUGCCUGGAAUUCAAGACUCCUGUUCUCUCCCAACACCUCCACCAUGAACCCUCCUCUCCAGCCAGCUGAGCUCCUCACCAACCUGACACAUUGGCUCAUUUCCACCUCGGCCCUCUCGCCAUCUUCUUCCCUCUGAAAGGCUCUCUUCUUUUUCCAUCUGGCCUAAGCCUGCUUACUCUUUGGAGCUCCAUCCUUAGGGAGACGUUUUCUGUUCAGUGACAUUUGUAAAACACUGAUUAAGAGCAUGCACUCAGGAGUCAGAUUUCCUUGGUUCAGAUCUUGCCUCCACCACUUACGGGCUCUGUGACUGUGAACAAGUUACUUAAUCUUACUGUGCUCAGUUUCCUCAUCUGAGACACUGAGAUAAUAAUAAUCCCUACCUUCUAGAGUGUUAUGAGAAUUAGUUAAUAAACGUACAAGGUUGUAGAAGGAUGCUGACACAGAGCAAGUGCUCCACAAAUGGUAGGGGUUAUAGGGGUUGCCCCAGGACACACUGAUCUAAGCUUCUCACACCCUACACCUAAUGUUCGUAACACAAAUCUUGGGAGACACACACACAUUCACACACACACACGCACGUAUACACACUGCUUUGUAGUUGUAACCUUUUCAACUCCCUGUUCCAAUUCUCUAGUGGAAUGAUCCCUUCUGAGCAGGAACCGCGUCUUACGCUUGCCUACAUCACCCACAGCCUGCGCACUGGCACAAUGCUACGCAGACAGCAGUUACAGGUGACCGUGUGCAGAACAGCAUAGAAGUCAAUGAGUGAAACUGAGUUGAAUAACUUGUCCAACGGCUCUUCCUUCUUCGCCCCCAUGUCAUCUAACAUGAAUUAAGUACAAAUGCUGAGAGUCACUAGAAGAAACUUUAGAGAUCAUCUGGUUAGAUUCCUCAUUUUACGGAGAUCAAGUGACUCACCCAAGGUCACACAGCCAGUUAGAGUCAGAGCUGGGAACAGAAUCCCUGGGGAGUCCUGGGAAGAGAGUCUGGCCUGCUUCCCAGCAGUGCAUUGGAAAGGAAGUAUAUGUUUAUUAUUUCGAAUACUUAACCAAAUCCUGACCGAAUGAGUGACUUAGAGGAAGUUUACGGCUGAUGGCAAGACGUAACUGAGCAGACAUGUAGUCACCACGUAGAGAAACUCACAGAAAUGAUAAGUAGAUCAUGGUCACAGAAUUUUGACAAGGUCAUCUUUCAAACUUGGCAACUAUACAAUACUGAUGAAUAGGAGUUAUUUAUGUUAACAACUCACAUUAUUACAUUUCUGGCAAUUCUAAUCUUAUGAUGCAGAAUAAGCCCAUCACUACCUCUCUGUGGGUCACAUAAAAAAAGAUCCCCCAGCUCUGCUUAGCUGAAUGCUCCUGGCCACAUCUUUGGGGAAGAAUAGGCCCUGGAGGAGGAGUGACAGAAGACAAUGGAGCAAGCCUCUGCCACCCUUGUUAGGAAAACAAGCAGUGGGUUACUAAUGGGCUGGCGUACAGCUACAGUGAGUGUAUUAUGGCCAAGUUAUAAUGGUGAAUGCAGAGGCUGUGAGCUGAGCCCCAUUCGCACCUGGCACAAUGAAUUCACAGCAGAGAGAUGCACUGAAUCUCUUCUCUUGCCAACAUUUUCAAAGUGCCUGCUCAUAUGGAUGCCACUCGGCUGGUAAUCUUCCAAACAAACACCAGAAACCUAAAGAAAUAGAUGGCUUUCUUAGUGUAGAGACCAGAAGGGUGCUGGGAAUUAGGUUCAAGUCUUGUUUACUUUUAUUAAAAGCAGCGCAAACUUGAGAAAACCCCUUAGCCUCUGUGGGUCUAACCUAAUCAUUUGUAAAAUGUAUGGUCCAGGUCCCAUCAGUGGUUCCCCAAACUGACUGCGUAUAGCGAUCACUGGGGAGGUUUUAUGCUCUUCUCCUUGGCUCUUCUUUCACAUCUCUCCAUCUUAUCUUCAAGGCCUGGUCUCCAAAAUUAGGUAAUCAAUCACUCAGUGAAUCAGUCUGCCUCCCCAGCCCAUGUUGACAGCUUCUUUCUCUCCUUCCCAUCAGCCCUCAUGCACUCACAUGUGACCAUGAGCUGUCCACUGUUGCUCUGUAAUUGUAUCUGGUAUGUAUGUCAUUUAUUCCACUAGUUCAUAAGCUGCGUGCGGUUGGGACCACUUCUGGGUUUUUUUCACAUGGACCUUUCUGACUUAGCGGACUGUCUUCACGUAUAAAUUAGGUUAACAAUAACUCUAUUUGCAUGCAUUCUGCUCAGCUGAACACCUAUUAAUCUCAAGCUGUGACACUCUUGCACAGUCACUCCUCUUGCUUUUAUAUGAAUGGUUGCUGUCCCAUGUCUCUUCCCCCACGAUGCCCACCAUCUGAUGCCAUAUCUUGUGCCAUUCCAUGAGCCUCAAAGGUAAAUAAAUGUAUGAAGGCAUGUUCUCUCAGAUCAUUUCAGGUUGGUCCCCAGGGUCCCACACCCCUGCCUUGUCCCAUCUGCCGGGUCAAGUUCAUAGAAGAGCAGGCUUGUUAUAGGGUAGGGUGAGCUUGUGCUGUCUGACCUUCCCUGCAAGGCAAAUGAAGCACCACAUCGAACCUGGGUGCUAACAGGUAGGGUGGGACUGGGAGCAGGGCUUCAGGCAGGGGGAAUUUGAACUGAAAGGCAAGUCCAGGGCAAGGUCAAGAUCAAGUCCAACAGGCAGGCUGUGCCCAGGAUUUGAAUCGGCGAACCCCGCGCCACGGAAACGGAGCGUGUGAACUUGACCACUGUGCCACAGGGCCAGCCCCAGUAUAUCUAUAUUUUUUAAAGCAGAGUUUCAUUUGUAAAAUACAUGCAAUCACUUAAUGUUAUACUGUAAACAAUGUUCCAUUUUACAACAGUCUCCAAAAGUAUCAUAAAAAAUAGUCUGUAAUAUUGCUAUAGUGUCUUUGGUUUGAUGCAUUAACUUGAUUUUAAUCUUCUUACUAUAUUUUAAAGCUGUGUAAUGCAUCUGGGAUAAUCAAACUUAGACUUACCAGAAUGCUCAAGAAAUUCAAUGUUUUGGUUAACACCACAUUCGUUUUAAAUGAGAGUUAGCAGAAAAUAUUCCCCCCCAAACUAUAUAACAUGCUUCAACACAUUUCCCCACCUUAAUGACUGUCAGACUGCGACUAGCUGAAUCUUAGAGUACCUUAGGACCAUUCAUCUGAAUAUCAGUGAGUAUCCCGCAGUGUUACAGACAUCUAGAGUUUGUACAAGAUUGAGAUCCACGUCUAAAACAAUUUUUAAAAGCAAAAUUCCUGAAAAACUGGCUGUUUUCUGGUGAUUUACCUCCUUUGGGUACAGUCUUGUGAAUAAAAUUAGCCCGUCUUUAUUGAGAUGGCUUAGUAUGUGUGCCAAGAGCUUUCCUUGCAUGACCUCAUUCUAGCCUGACAACACCACAAUGAGACUGGUUCUAUUAUUGCCCUCCCCCGCCCAUGUCCUGAGCGGAACAGAGCUGUGUUUUCGUGCAACCUGAACAGUGUCAGAACAUCUAGUACACCCAGAGAAGUCCUGUAUCCUGCUGCCCCCGCCAAUCCAUCUCUGGGGAAUGUUGGAGGGCCCGGCGCUGGUGCCGUUGAGUCUGGGAAGAGGAAGUUCCACCUUCGGGGCUGGAUAAGUUAGUUAUUUUUAAUUCGACUGUUUUCUGGAGUAGGAAUCCAUUUGAAGGUAAGUAUCAGGGUUUGGCUGCAGCAUAUUCUUUUGAUUUCCCACUGCCCAUUGGACCCACGCAGCACCUCCGGGAAGUACGAAACAAAGGGUGAACACCCGGAUUUUCAAGGAACCUCAUCAUCUCCAUUUGUUCUGCUCAGAAAAUAAAGUAAAACAAGCUUUGGAGAAAAGUGAAUUUGAAUUAAAAAGACACCUGAACAUUAAUAUGAAUGUACUUACUGCCAUUGAACUGUAUACUCAAAAAUCGUUAAAAUGGUGAAUUUUAUGUUAUGUGUAUUUGACCAAAAUAAAAUAAAAUAAGGCGAAGGGGAAAAAAAGACAUCUUCCUUAGGACAACAGUAGAGUAUUAUCCACAAUAUUUACCAAAAUCUGUGCAGAUUCUUUCUCAACAGUGGGAUUCUUCUUUUAAACACGUCUUAACAUCUUUCUCUUCUUUUAAAAUGUCCCCCGGACCACACUCGUCUUGAUGCUGGAAGCGGGUUAGCCUGGCCUGGAGCCUGCUGUCUGCCUCCUCGGACCACCCUCCUUUGUGUUGUCUGUGGGUGGAGUAAGCUGUUGCCAACUGUAGCUGAGCGAAAACCAGAUGCCCUCCCUUCCCUCUAGAAGCUAUUUAUUGUUUGCAGAGGAAUCAGCCAUCAAAGAGAUCUCCUGUGCCCCUCCCACUCUUCCAAUGUACAGUUCUCGACUGAAAAAUGCUAACAUCCGACCAGACACCACAGAAACAUCCUGAAAGACAAUGCCUGGACCCUGACUUUUCUAGGGAACAGGCCAGGGUUUCUUUUUGUCCACAUCAGCCCAGCUUGUUUUUAUUGCUGUGACCUUACUAACGUCUCCCUCUUCUUACCUGGCAUGAUUUAUGUUUAAGGCAUCGUCCAGGCCACUUAUUUCAAGUUUCUUCUUAUUUUAUUCCUGAGCUCAGCAUUGUGCCACGAAUUCCCCUGCUCUGAACUCUGGAAGUGUGUUGUGAUGAGAUUAAAGAACCAAAAUAUUUCCAGAGAAAAUGGAAAUGGAUCAUGUUGAUUGCUCAGCAGAAGUUGAUCAGAUGGUCCAGAAUAUUCUAAUAUUAAUGUUUUUUAUAUUAUCAAGAAAAUAAAAGCAAAAUUUAAAAAACAACUGCAAAGAAACAUUAGGGCUAAGAAUAUAUCCAUAGGCUCCAGUUUGUGGAAAAUUGAUUUGGGGUGCAUGGAGGCAGGAGAGGUCCUCUCAGCCUGGGAUAUGACAUGGUCUUUCUCCUAAAGGCAGUGAGGAGUAAUAUCCCUUACACUGUGGUCUAUAUCCCUCUGUACCUUCUAUGAAUUUCUAAUUAUAAAGGCUUUAAGUCAAUGACUCAUAAUUGUCCUUAGUUUCACCCUAAAUUCAUCAACAUGGCUGACAAGGCCCUCCAUGUCUGACUCCUGCUUAUGUUCCAGCAUCAUCUGUCCUUGGUCACAUCCUUCCUCCUCCUGCCUUGAGUCACCCCAUCUCCCCAACACACCUCAACGCCCCAGGUGCUAUACUCUUCCUUGUUCUAGGCAGUUCCCUCCUUCUGGAAUUUUCUUACCUUCUCCUCCUAUUCCCUUCUUUACCUGGUUAACUCUCAGCUUUCACAUAGUAGCUUGAGUUUUCUCCUCCCUGACCCUGUACUUCUGCUAGCAAGGCACUCACACAGCUAUGUAUUAAAAUUGCUUAUUUAAUAGUUUGUCUUCCCAUAGGAGUAAAAGUUCUGCCGGUAUAGAGGUCAUGUCUAUCUUGCUCACUAUCUUAUCUCCAGCAUCUACCUAGCACAGGACCUUGAACACCCUAGAUGCUAAAAAAAAAUUGUUGGAGGAGAGGAACAAAAUAAAUCAAGGGAAGGCAGGGAGAUGGUGGAAAAAUAGGAGAGCAGGAAGCAGGCAGGGCAGAGGAGUCAGGAAAUAGAGCAUUCAGUAAAUGGUAACAACUAUUGUCAGAAAAAUGUCUCUGCUGUUUCUGAUCUGAAAAGAGAGUGGAGCUCUAUGUGAUCAGAGAUGGACUGAGUCUGGAAUUAAAAUCUGGAUCAAUUUCAGACUUCAAAGUGCCCAGUGCUCUGGGAAGACUCAGCAGGACUCAGAGCUAUCAAUGAAUUUAUCCUUGUAGGGGCACAUAAACUCACAAAUGUGUACCCCUUUUUAAAUUUAUUUGUUGGGAAAUUGAAUUCUAUAUUGUUUAGAACAUAACUUGAAACUGUGACUACUGAGUAGCCUAAAAGGGUGAAAGAACCGUGAGCACAAGUGUGCACUUAUUGUACUCAAUUAGUUCUCAUUGGAAAUGCUUCGUUUACUGGGGAAGGAAAAUGGUAACACAGCUGAAGCCCGCCAUCUAGUGGACUUUCUAAAGACAUGGGUUUGCCAAUGUGAAGGAAGGAGCAAGUAUCACAGAAGAGGAGGCCUGGAAGGGCCCCAAGAGCAUAUGUCAUCCUGGCUCCAUCAUCUGGGGGGAGGUCCAAGUCCACCUUUUAGGAUGAGGGAUCAUUUAUGGUCUUCUGACAGAGCUCUCCUUUCUAAAUAGCCCAAUGAAAUGUGUUAACAUUCUGAUGUCUAAAUAGUUAUCCUAAAUCAAUGCGAAAUUUCAAUUACUUUCAAUUCAAAACUAUCCCAGCAAGAAAUUAAUGCACCAUGCUGGAGAAGUAUAUUCUGUUCAUUUUUGUGUUGACCCUUAACUUUAAAAGUCAGAUUUCUUAGUCUAGUACCCAAGGAACAACAACAACAAAAAAAAUAGAUAUCAAAUCUAUUUUCCCUGAAGCUAGCACCUCCAUUAAGCCAAUAGUGUUCUUCAAUCUACAUGUAUCCCACGAGACAUAUCUCAGAGCACACAAGCAGGGCAGCAGCUCUACCUGGGCACCAGCAGGCUGGGUUUUAAGACUCACACUGUCAUUCACCAGUUUGUCUCCCUGGACUAGAUGUCUAUCCUCUAAGAUUAGCAGUUUCCUCAUUUGUUAAAAAGAGAGGCUUAAGUAUAAUAACCACUAAGGUCUCUUUUGGCUUUAAAGUUCAAUGAGCUUGUCCCCAGAUUCACAGGUCUCAUGAUCACAACGGCCUGGCUUGGACCCACUCCAGGCUCAGCACCCCCAUUACUGCUCUUUCAUUGAACUACUUAUGGAGGAGUGACAUCAGCAUUAUGGUGGCAUGAGACACUCCCUUUGUAUCUCCCCUCUGAUUUACAACUAGUAAGACAUCCAUGACUCAGCAAAAGUUCCUGUGCCCAAUACACCAGGAUGCCAGAGAGAUCCACACAUCUGAAGGUGGGUGGAUUAGAACACACAGGAGGCAUAACUGGGGGAGCAGCAGAGGCGGUACCUACAAUCCCAGUCCCCCAGCUGUGGCAGCUGAGCCCACAACCCCAGGGAACCUGGUGGCAGCAGUGGAGGUGGCACACACGACUCCAGCCUCCCAGUCACAGCAGCACCUGCAGCCACAGGAAACCUGGCAGCAGUGCUGUGGCCUAUCACCCCAGACACUCCAGCCACGGUGGUGCCCAUGUCUCCAGCCCCAUCACCUGUGUUGGCUGUGCCUGCAACCCCAGCUCAUCCUCCACCUUCACCCUCCCGCCCACUGCAGCAGGGAUGCCCAUGACACAGGCAACUCUGUCUGUCAUCCUGGUGCCCUCAGUGGGGAUGACAGUGACCACAGUGACACUGGCCACAGCAAGGCACCAGCAAACCCGGAGGCACAAGCAGCAAUGAGAAGGACAUGGGUGACAUCUCUGGCAGAGGUCGUAGAGGGUAGAAAGUGCCAGUUUUCAAAUAUAGCCAGAGGAAGCUCAAGUAAGAAAAACCAAAACUUGUGCUACAGUGCCACCUACUGAAAAAAAGGGAAAAGUCUCUAAUUACCAACUUCUUGAAUUGUAGACUCAAAGUAAACAAAGCUUUAUUUAAAUAAGAAAAAUGUCUGCUACCUCAAAUGCGCCAGCAGAGCAACAACUCAGCAAGCACCAUGAAAAACCACAGUCACACAGUAUCACAGAAAGAAAAUGACAAUUUUCCAGAAAUCAAACUUAAAGUCACAGAAGAUUGUGAUCUGAUAGAGAAUCCAAAAUAACUGUCAGGAAUAAAGUCAACAAGCUACAAGAAAACUCAGAAAGGUAGUUCAACAAGCUCAGGAAUAUAAUUAAUAAACAGAGGAAAUACUUUACCAAAGAGCUUGAAAUUUUAAAAAAGAACCAAACAUAAAUUCUGGAGCUGAAGAACUCAAUAAAUGAGAUGAAGAAUGCAUUAAAAAAGCAUUGGAAGUAGAGCAGACUAUAUGGAAGAGAGAAUUAAUGAGCUCAAAGAAUAACAAUCUAGAAAUGAAUCAGGUAGGAAAGGAGAGAGAAUUGACAUUUUUUUAAAAAUGAAGUAAUUUUACUGGAACUAUCUGACUCCAUUAGCAAAGGCAACAUAAGGAUAAUGGAUAUCCCAGAAGGAGG